rnacentral:rRNA from 1 species
CCUGACCUCGGAUCAGACGUGAAUACCCGCUGAACUUAAGCAUAUCACUAAGCGGAGGAAAAGAAACUAACCA